rnacentral:rRNA from 1 species
UGGGGAAUAUUGCACAAUGGGCGAAAGCCUGAUGCAGCGACGCCGCGUGCGGGAUGAAGGCCUUCGGGUUGUAAACCGCUUUUAAUUGGGAGCAAGCGAGAGUGAGUGUACCUUUUGAAUAAGCACCGGCUAACUACGUGCCAGCAGCCGCGGUAAUACGUAGGGUGCAAGCGUUAUCCGGAAUUAUUGGGCGUAAAGAGCUCGUAGGCGGUUUGUCACGCCUGGUGUGAAAGUCCAUCGCUUAACGGUGGAUCUGCGCCGGGUACGGGCAGGCUAGAGUGCAGUAGGGGAGAUUGGAAUUCCCGGUGUAACGGUGGAACGUGUAGAUAUCGGGAAGAACACCAAUGGCGAAGGCAGAUCUCUGGGCUGUUACUGACGCUGAGGAGCGAAAGCAUGGGGAGCGAACAGGAUUAGAUACCCUGGUAGUCCAUGCCGUAAAACGGUGGAUGCUGGAU